CCGUCCGCCAGGUGUCACCAAAACAACGUCCAAAGUCCUUUAAACGCUUUCCACGUGUUCACUGUUUACAGCAGCACCAGCGGCUCUUCAGAACAAUAACUGAGACAAACUUCCAGCCCUGGAACCAAUUAGAGCAGGAGGAGCCCCUGCACCCGUCCACGGGAGGCGCCUUCGGUGCGGAGACGGAGGCAGGUGCUACUGACGUUCCUCUGGAGAAGUAAUCAGCGGCGCCUCUGUUCGAAGACAAGCAAUGCGAAACACGAAAGCUACGGGAAACCGCUAUCUUCACUCACCAUUGGUCGACAUACCCUACCACUUUUGAGACCGAGAGCCACGGAGACAGGAUAAAACAAGACAGGGUGCUUGCCAGCUGGGAACACGAAUAGCACUUGGCAGUCAACUCAGAGGUCACCAGAGAGCUUGGCUGGCUGAAAAACCAUCAGGAGAAGAUUUCUGUUGGUCAGCAUGGUGAAGUUGAACAUGCUGUGAAAUCUGUAUUGGAAAAUGAAGAACAAUAUGCCUUCGAGUCUUGGUUGGAAUGUUCCUCUUGCAGUCUUGUAUUUGAUAUGAAAUAUUGGAAAAUAUGCAAUUUCGUAUUUCUUUCCCUUUUCUAAACAAAGGAAAGGACGUUUUUCAGUGCAAAUGCAAUAAAAUGAGGAACCAAGGAUGCAUUAGGUGUCUAAUCCUCUAGUAUUUUAUCAAUAUUGUGUUGCUGCAGAUCAUGGGAAAGCCUAUUGCUUCAUUAAAAAACCAAAGAAUUUUCUUUAGCACUAUUUUUAUUAAAAGUACACACAAUGUGUAUUACAUAAUGGUGAAUAUUAAAAAUGAAAGCUAAACAAUUAUCAUUACCAAUGUGCAUUCACAAUGAUUUUUUUUUUGUAAUUGACGACGCCCCCAGACUCAAAGUCAAGGACUCCAAAGAAUGAUCUGUGACAUUGCAGUUUAUUUAAUGGCAGCAUAGAUUACAGAACAAUUUGCAAAGCAUCAAAACUCUAAAAUCUUUUAGGCUUGAUUUGCAGAGGAAAAUGUCUAAUUGUCACUGGCAUCUUGAGGCAUGAGAGAGCUGU